rnacentral:rRNA from 1 species
UAAUACAGAGGGGGCAAGCGUUAUUCGGAAUUACUGGGCGUAAAGGGCGCGUAGGCGGUUCUUUAAGUCGGAUGUGCAAUCCCCGAGCUCAACUUGGGAACUGCAUCCGAAACUGGGGAGCUAGAGUGCUGGAGAGGGUGGUGGAAUUCCACGUGUAGCGGUGAAAUGCGUAGAGAUGUGGAGGAACACCAGUGGCGAAGGCGGCCACCUGGACAGUAACUGACGCUGAGGCGCGAAAGUGUGGGUAGCAAACAGG